rnacentral:rRNA from 1 species
UGAGUAGGCGGUUAUGUAUGUCAGAUGUAAAAGGCACAGGCUUAACUUGUGUUAGCAUUUGAAACUGCAUAACUUGAGUGCAGGAGAGGUAAGUGGAAUUCCUAGUGUAGCGGUGAAAUGCGUAGAUAUUAGGAGGAACACCAGUGGCGAAGGCGACUUACUGGACUGUAACUGACGCUGAGUCACGAAAGCGUGGGUAGCAAACA